rnacentral:tRNA from 1 species
GGCCCGUUCGUCUAUCGGUUAGGACCUCCCCGGUUUUCAUCCUGGAAAGAGGGGUUCGAUUCCCCUACGGCUAC